rnacentral:rRNA from 1 species
CAGCAGCCGCGGGAAUACGAGGGGGGCAAGCGUUAUUCGGAAUUAUUGGGCGUAAAGGGCGCGUAGGCGGUUUGACAAGUUUGGUGUGAAAUCUAUGGGCUCAACCCAUAGCCUGCAUCGAAAACUGUCGGGCUUGAGUAUGGGAGAGGUGGGUGGAAUUUCCGGUGUAGCGGUGAAAUGCGUAGAUAUCGGAAGGAACACCUGUGGCGAAAGCGGCUCACUGGACCAUUACUGACGCUGAGGCGCGAAAGCUAGGGGAGCAAACAGGAUUAGAGACCCCAGUAGUCUCUGUCUCUUAUAA